rnacentral:rRNA from 1 species
AUUGAACGCUGGCGGCAGGCUUAACACAUGCAAGUCGAGCGGGGUGAUGGUGCUUGCACUAUCACUUAGCGGCGGACGGGUGAGUAAUGCUUAGGAAUCUGCCUAUUAGUGGGGGACAACAUCUCGAAAGGGAUGCUAAUACCGCAUACGUCCUACGGGAGAAGGCAGGGGAUCACUUGUGACCUUGCGCUAAUAGAUGAGCCUAAGUCGGAUUAGCUAGUUGGUGGGGUAAAGGCCUACCAAGGCGACGAUCUGUAGCGGGUCUGAGAGGAUGAUCCGCCACACUGGGACUGAGACACGGCCCAGACUCCUACGGGAGGCAGCAGUGGGGAAUAUUGGACAAUGGGGGGAACCCUGAUCCAGCCAUGCCGCGUGUGUGAAGAAGGCCUUAUGGUUGUAAAGCACUUUAAGCGAGGAGGAGGCUCUUUUGGUUAAUACCCAAGGUGAGUGGACGUUACUCGCAGAAUAAGCACCGGCUAACUCUGUGCCAGCCGCCGCGGUAA